CACAAAAACACCAAAAAGCCAGCGACACUCAGAAAACCAGCGCUUCAAUAAUAUCUUUCAUUGCCAAAGGGAAAACGGAGAUCAAGAAAGUGCUUAUUCCGGCUCUUCACGUCUACCAGCUGCUGUAGUAGGACUGCUGUUAGUGAGUCACCAGCUACUGAAGGGACAGCAGGCGAGACGGGGAGAACACGACUUCAAUAGCCGGAGAUCAACUGAUUCGGGUAAAACAAGCAGGAGAUGACACAGCCGGAGGCACAGCCGAUACAGAUAAACCACAAUCUACCAACGCUUCACUGUUUCUUGUACCGACCACCAUUUAGGGCACUUUUACUGUUGUUAAGAACUUGUCGGUCGCCUUGAAAUCAAACAAAGAAAUAUUGCUGCCAGAAAAAAAAAAAAAGUUUAAUUACAGUAAUUACUGUAGGCAUCUUACAGUUUAACUAGCUCUUUUUAACUAUCCCAGUGGUCUUUUAGAAAUAUUAAAAACUCCUGCAAACAGUUCACACUGUUUGUUACUAAAAAGGCGUGAGAUGCAGCAUGUUUUGCUUUUUUAUGAGGGAAGCGAGUGUGCAAAUGUGCUAUGAAGAUUGUUUGAAGAGCUAAAUGUAUCUGAAACAAAAACACAUUGGAAAUAUGAAAGCAAGUUAUCAAAAGUGGGCAGCCAUUAAAAGUGGAGAUAUCAAAAACACAAGCCAAGUUUCAUCAAGAAACCAUUGGGGCAACCUUGCUGAGCAUCAAGCAAAUAGGAACUGUAAAACCAAUGGGGGUCAAGGUUGCCCCAAUUGUUUUUUUUCACAUUUCCAAUAUGUUUUUGUUUUAGAUCAGAUUCAGAUUAUAUAAAAAAAAGAUAUUUUUUGCAGGCAAAUGUUCCAUUUUAAAACAGAAAUAAAUCAUUUAAUAUAAAUGAUAUAAACGUAACAAAAAAUGUGUUCCCUAGUAUAUUUCCAUGUUUAAUUGUCAUUAAACUCAGAUUUCCUGUAAUAUGCAUGGUGCGGGGGUCUGCAAAAAUCUGCAAAAAAACAGGAGAAAAAGAUGGGAGAGAAGGACAUUUUUACCUCAAUUUGGCAACUUAUUUUUCUUACUGUAUAACAUGUAUUGGCUUUUUUCCAUACAUUUCACCUAAGAGUGUUGGGAACUACAAAUUAAAAGUGAAAUUGUGCUUUUGGCUGAUUUACUUUCGCUGCACCAAUACCCUGAAAACACAUAAACUAUCCUUGCUAUAUAGAGAGUCUCUGGCAGUUCUCGCUGAUAACUUGGCGCAAGGAACUUCCGUUCCUCUCAAUUUAGCCAUGAUUAAAGAAGAAUCCUGGAGGACUUGAUUGAAGUCUUCAAAAUAUUUAAAUGAGUUUACAAAGUUAACCUGAACCAACACUUUAAGAGCAGCACAGAAACUAGCACCAGAGGACAGGUUGGAAAUAAUAGUAGUCAGACUUAGAACAGAGAGAAGGAGACAUUACUUUACACAGAGAGUGGUGAGGAUAUCCAGUG